rnacentral:rRNA from 1 species
AGUCGAGCGGAUGAAGAGAGCUUGCUCUCUGAUUCAGCGGCGGACGGGUGAGUAAUGCCUAGGAAUCUGCCUGGUAGUGGGGGACAACGUCUCGAAAGGGACGCUAAUACCGCAUACGUCCUACGGGAGAAAGCAGGGGACCUUCGGGCCUUGCGCUAUCAGAUGAGCCUAGGUCGGAUUAGCUAGUUGGUGAGGUAAUGGCUCACCAAGGCGACGAUCCGUAACUGGUCUGAGAGGAUGAUCAGUCACACUGGAACUGAGACACGGUCCAGACUCCUACGGGAGGCAGCAGUGGGGAAUAUUGGACAAUGGGCGAAAGCCUGAUCCAGCCAUGCCGCGUGUGUGAAGAAGGUCUUCGGAUUGUAAAGCACUUUAAGUUGGGAGGAAGGGCAGUAACUUAAUACGUUGCUGUUUUGACGUUACCGACAGAAUAAGCACCGGCUAACUCUGUGCCAGCAGCCGCGGUAAUACAGAGGGUGCAAGCGUUAAUCGGAAUUACU